GUUUUUAUUCCAGAUAGAAGGAGCUUGGAAUGAAGGAGGGAGAGGGCCAAGCAUUUGGGACACUUUCGCCCAACAACACCCUGAAAAAAUUGAAGACGGGAGCAAUGGAAAUAUUGCCGUGGAUUCAUAUCAUUGAUACAAAGAAGACGUGAAGCUGUUGAAGGACAUGAACGUAGAUUCCUAGAUUCUCCAUUUCAUGGUCAAGGAUUCUACCAA